rnacentral:rRNA from 1 species
UGCCCNCUGAUGUUUAUUAAAGGGCUGCAGUAUUUUGACUGUACAAAGGUAGCAUAAUCAUUAGUCAUUUAAUUGAUGACUUGUAUGAAGGAUUGGAUGAAAUAUUAACUGUCUUAAGUAUAUAAAUUUAUAAUUUAAUUUUUUAGUUAAAAAGCUAAAAUAAUUUAAAAAGACGAGAAGACCCUAUAGAGUUUGAUAUAGCGAAGUAAUUAAUUUAUUUUGUAUAGUUUUUAGUAGAUUAUUUUAUUUAUAUUUUAUUGGGGUGAUAGAAAAAUUAAAAAAACUUUUUUUAAAAAUAUUAACAUAAAUAAGUGGUUAAAUGAUCCAAUAGAAUAUUGAUUAAAAGAAAAAAUUACCUUAGGGAUAACAGCGUUAUUUUUUUUUUUAGUUCAGAUAAAAAAAAAAGUUUGCGACCUCGAUGUUGGAUUAAGAUAAAAUUUGAAUGUAGAAGUUUAAAGUUUUGA